rnacentral:lncRNA from 1 species
AUUUUGCUGGAGAUCCUUGUUUACCUGAGGUAUUGUGAAGGAAGGAAUUCUGGGGUGAUUAUUGCUGCUUCUACUUUCUGAAGUGAGAUAGAUUGUAAAGCAGGUACAUCAAAGGCAGACGUCUCUAGAGUGCCAAAGAAGAAUGUAAAGCUGAGCAGUUUCUGCCACAUGUGGAUUUGUACCACCAUGGGCCAGAAUGGAAGGAAAACUGCAGCCAUUAUGAGUGGAAGGCUGAGCUGGGAUGGGUCAGCUGCUGCCUAGAUCAUGAAGGGAAACUUUCCUGCCUCAAAGUGGGAUUGUGACAAGCUAUUUCAGGAAACUAUAGAGGCCAGCAGUCCACUAUAGCAACACAUUUUCAAACAGGCAAAAGCUCUUUAGAUGAGCUAUCAUUGAACUGAGACAAACACAUAGCAGUACUGUAUUGCAAGAUGUACCUCUCAUAAUUUGCCUGUCUUUAAUGCCAUCCCUUUAAAUCAUGUAAAGUUCCCCUAUGUUAUAUUAUUUUCAAGUCCUCUAGAGCACAGUUCUCAGGAUGGGGGGGGAUUCUGCUGUUUUCAGUAAGUGCUUAGUUUCUAGAUCAACUUUAAGCUAUAUGGCUACAUUAGUGCUCCCCUGGCACAUUAUUUUGCAUCGUAUAUUGUGCACUGUUAUGCAGUUUUUUGGAUAUCACUUGAAGUCAGUCAGGUGGUGAAGUCACAGUACAGUUGCUGUAAUCCUUUAUUUCUUUUAGUACAUGUAACAUUUUCCUUGUCCUGUAAUACUGUAGUAAAACAAAUAUAUCAACUCUAAUAGUAUUUUAUAAGUCAGUCAGAAGGCAUAGAUCUGAACAAAGUUUUGGGAUCAAAUCUGUAACCCAUUUUGUAAGGCUUUACACUCUAUCAUACCUUGAGUCAGCUUCUGGGGUAUUAGAGAAAGAAGAGAAAAUUCCUUUCAUAAAUACUAAUGUGUUCUCAAUGGAAGAAGUCAGCAUUUACAUAAUUGACUUUUAAAAAUAAAGUUUUGAAGAAUACU